AUUGAACGCUGGCGGCAGGCCUAACACAUGCAAGUCGCACGAGUGGCGGACGGGUGAGUAAUGUCUGGGAAACUGCCCGAUGGAGGGGGAUAACUACUGGAAACGGUAGCUAAUACCGCAUACCAUCGGAUGUGCCAAGAUGGGAUUAGCUAGUUGGUGGGGUAACGGCUCACCUAGGCGACGAUCCCUAGCUGGUCUGAGAGGAUGAUCAUCCACACUGGAACCUAGACACGGCCCAGACUCCGACGGAAGGCAGCAGUGGGGAAGAUUGCACAAUGGGCGCAAGCCUGAUGCAGCCAUGCCGCGUGUAUGAAGAAGGCCUUCGGGUUGUAAAGCACUUUCGGCGAGGAGGCGUUACUCGGAGAAGAAGCACCGACGAACUCCGUGCCAGCAGCCGCGGUAAUGG
rnacentral:rRNA from 1 species